AUUGAACGCUGGCGGCAGGCCUAACACAUGCAAGUCGAGCGAGCGGCGGACGGGUGAGUAAUGUCUGGGAAACUGCCUGAUGGAGGGGGAUAACUACUGGAAACGGUAGCUAAUACCGCAUACCAUCAGAUGUGCCCAGUUGGGGUUAGCUAGUAGGUGGGGUAAUGGCUCACCGAGGCGACGAUCCCUAGCUGGUCUGAGAGGAUGAUCAGCCACACGGGGACUGAGACACGGCCCAGACUCCUACGGGAGGCAGCAGUGGGGAAUAUUGCACAAUGGGCGCAAGCCUGAUGCAGCCAUGCCGCGUGUGUGAAGAAGGCCUUCGGGUUGUAAAGCACUUUCAGCGGGGAGGCGUUACCCGCAGAAGAAGCACCGGCUAACUCCGUGCCAGCAGCCGCGGUAAUUC
rnacentral:rRNA from 1 species